rnacentral:siRNA from 1 species
UAAAUGAGGAUCCUAGCAU